AUGACUCGUGUUGAAGUGUUUUCCAGCAUGUGUUCGGGGCCUAAAGGCCUUCGCUUCUCUGAACACCAGCCCCACCUGUCAAGACCAGCUCCACACUUUCAUCUGAUGCCAUUGUGCUCUGCCUUCACAAACGGGGCGCAUUAUCCUGCUGAAAGAGGCCACAGCCACCAGGGAAUAUGGUUUCCAUGAAAGAGUGUACAUGGUCUGCAACAAUGCUUAGGUACAGUAGGUGGUACAUGUCAAAGUAACAUCCACAUGGAUGGCAGGACCCAAGGUUUCCCAGCAGAACAUUUCCUGAAGCAUCACACUGCCUCCACCGGCUUGCCUUCUUCCCAUAGUGCAUCCUUGUGCCAUGUGUUCCCCAGAUAAGGCACACACACACCUGGCCAUCCACAUGAUGUAAAAGAAAACAUGAUUCAUCAGACCAGGCCACCUUCUUCCAUUGCUCCGUGUCCAGUUCUGAUGCUCACGUGCCCACUGUUGACGCUUUCAGUGAUGGACAGGGGUCAGCAUGGGCACCCAGACUGGUCUGCAGCUAUGCAGCCCCAUACACAACAAACUGUGAUGCACUGUGUAUUCUGACACCUUUCCAUCAGAACCAGAAUUAACUUCUUGAGCAAUAUGAGCUACAGUAGCUUGUCGUAGUAUCAGACCACACGGGCCAGCCUUCACUCCCCACGUGCA
ensembl:lncRNA